rnacentral:guide_RNA from 1 species
AACCUAAACCGAGAACAUGAAACGAAGAGAUUGAUAGAUAAUUA